CCUACGGGUGGCUGCAGUGGGGAAUAUUGGACAAUGGGCGAAAGCCUGAUCCAGCCAUGCCGCGUGUGUGAAGAAGGCCUUCGGGUUGUAAAGCACUUUCAGUGGGGAAGAAAGCCUUGGGGCUAAUACCCUCGAGGAAGGACAUCACCCACAGAAGAAGCACCGGCUAACUCCGUGCCAGCAGCCGCGGUAAUACGGAGGGUGCGAGCGUUAAUCGGAAUUACUGGGCGUAAAGCGCGCGUAGGCGGUCUGAUAAGCCGGUUGUGAAAGCCCCGGGCUCAACCUGGGAACGGCAUCCGGAACUGUCCGGCUAGAGUGCAGGAGAGGAAGGUAGAAUUCCCGGUGUAGCGGUGAAAUGCGUAGAGAUCGGGAGGAAUACCAGUGGCGAAGGCGGCCUUCUGGACUGACACUGACGCUGAGGUGCGAAAGCGUGGGUAGCAAACAGGAUUAGAUACCCUUGUAGUC
rnacentral:rRNA from 1 species